rnacentral:rRNA from 1 species
UACGUAGGGUGCGAGCGUUAAUCGGAAUUACUGGGCGUAAAGCGUGCGCAGGCGGCUUUGCAAGACAGAUGUGAAAUCCCCGGUCUCAACCUGGGAACUGCAUUUGUGACUGCAAGGCUAGAGUACGGCAGAGGGGGAUGGAAUUCCGCGUGUAGCAGUGAAAUGCGUAGAUAUGCGGAGGAACACCAAUGGCGAAGGCAAUCCCCUGGGCCUGUACUGACGCUCAUGCACGAAAGCGUGGGGAGCAAACAGG